rnacentral:rRNA from 1 species
GACGAACGCUGGCGGCGUGCCUAAUACAUGCAAGUCGAGCGAAGCGGCGGAUGGGUGAGUAACGCGUGGGUAACCUGCCAUUAAGUCUGGGAUACCAUUUGGAAACAGAUGCUAAUACCGGAUACUAAAGGAUGGACCUGCGAUGCAGUAGCUAGUGGGUAAGGUAACGGCUUACCAAGGCAACGAUGCAUAGCCGACCUGAGAGGGUUAUCGGCCACACUGGAACUGAUACACGGUCCAGACUCAUACGGGAGGCAGCAGUAGGGAAUCUUCCGCAAUUGGCGAAAGCCUGACGGAGCAACGCCGCGGGAGUGAUGAAGGUCUUCGGAUCGUUAAACUCUGUUAUUAGGGAAUCGGUACCUAAUCAGAAAGCCACUGAUAAAAACGGGCCAGCAGCCGCGGUAAUUC